UUAACCUACGGGAGGCAGCAGUGGGGGAUAUUGCACAAUGGGGGAAACCCUGAUGCAGCGACGCCGCGUGAGUGAAGAAGUAUUUCGGUAUGUAAAGCUCUAUCAGCAGGGAAGAAGAUGACAGUACCUGAGUAAGAAGCCCCGGCUAACUACGUGCCAGCAGCCGCGGUAAUACGUAGGGGGCAAGCGUUAUCCGGAUUUACUGGGUGUAAAGGGAGCGUAGACGGAUGGAUAAGUCUGAAGUGAAAGCCCGCGGCUCAACCGCGGGACUGCAUUGGGAACUACCGGGCUGGAGUGCCGGAGAG
rnacentral:rRNA from 1 species